GAGGGUGAUCGGCCACAUUGGGACUGAGAUACGGCCCAGACUCCUACGGGAGGCAGCAGUAGGGAAUUUUGCGCAAUGGACGAAAGUCUGACGCAGCGACGCCGCGUGAGGGAUGACGGCCUUCGGGUUGUAAACCUCUGUUGAGUGGGACGAAAACUCGCAGGGUUAAUACCCCUGCGACCUGACGGUACCACUCGAGGAAGCUCCGGCUAACUACGUGCCAGCAGCCGCGGUAAUACGUAGGGAGCAAGCGUUGUUCGGAAUCACUGGGCGUAAAGGGAGUGUAGGCGGGAAAGUAAGUUAGGAGUGAAAUACACAGGCUUAACCUGUGGCCCGCUCUUAAUACUGCUUUUCUUGAGUAUGGGAGAGGAAGAUGGAAUUCCAGGUGUAGCGGUGGAAUGCGUAGAUAUCUGGAAGAACACCAGUAGCGAAGGCGGUCUUCUGGCCCAAUACUGACGCUGAGGCUCGAAAGCUAGGGGAGCAAACAGGAUUAGAUACCCUGGUAGUCCUAGCCGUAAACGAUGGACACUAGUUGUCGGGGGAGUCAAUCCCUUCGGUGACGAAGCUAACGCAUUAAGUGUCCCGCCUGGGGGGUACGCUCGCAAGGGUGAAACUCAAAGGAACUGACGGGGGCCCCCACAAGCGGUGGAGCAUGUGCUUUAAUUCGAUGCAACGCGAAGAACCUUACCUGGGUUUGACAUGGGGGUGAAAGUAACCAGAGAUGGAUACCUUUCCUUCGGGAACACCCCACACAGGUGCUGCAUGGUUGUCGUCAGCUCGUGUCGUGAGAUGUUGGGUUAAGUCCCGCAACGAGCGCAACCCCUACCCUUAGUUGCCAGCGGGUUAUGCCGGGAACUCUAGGGGGACUGCCUGGACUAACCAGGAGGAAGGUGGGGAUGACGUCAAAUCCUCAUGGCCCUUACGCCCAGGGCUAGACACGUGCUACAAUGGCCGGUACAAUAGGCUGCGAACUCGCGAGAGUAAGCUAAUCCGAUAAAACCGGCCUCAGUUCGGAUUGGAGUCUGCAACUCGACUCCAUGAAGGUGGAAUCGCUAGUAAUCGCGGAUCAGCAUGCCGCGGUGAUACGUUCCCGGGCCUUGUACACACCGCCCGUCAAGCCAUGAAAGACGGUAGUGCCCGAAGUCGUUCCCCUAACCCUC
rnacentral:rRNA from 1 species